GACGAACGCUGGCGGCGUGCUUAACACAUGCAAGUCGAACGGUGAAGCCCUGCUGGUUGGAUCAGCGGCGAUUGGGGGCGUAAGACUUAAGCAACCGUCCCCUGCCUCUGGGAUAACCACUGGCAACGGUGGCUAAUACUAGAUACGACCCGCCACGGCUGCUACUGUGGGGGGAAAGUUUUUCGGCUGGGGUUGGGCAGGGGGCCUAUCAGCCUGUUGGUGGGGUUAGGGCUGACGAAGGCGAAGACGGGUAGCCGGCCUGAGAGGGCGACCGGCCACACUGGGACUGAGACACGGCCCAGACUCCUACGGGAGGCAGCAGUGGGGAAUAUUGCACAAUGGGCGGAAGCCUGAUGCAGCGACGCCGCGUGCGGGAUGACGGCCUUCGGGUUGUAAACCUCUUUCAGCUGAGAAGAAGCGAAAGUGACGGUAGGGGCAGAAGAAGCACCGGCUAACUACGUG
rnacentral:rRNA from 1 species